UUUUGUAGCUCUUGGAUCGGAUGCGGAUACGAAUUUUGUAUCCACGCAGGGCUGUAGUCACAACCUUGACCAGGAGGUGGCUCUGUUGUGUGGGAGGGUGUGAAAAGGAAUUCACCUUGUUCAUUUCAGUCUUGGUCUUCUCCCUACACCACUCCACCAACCCCAGCCUAGAAGGCAGGGCCCUCGUAUGGGGUGAGAGGGAAGUUUAGCUUUGACUUUCCCAGCUAGACUCCAUUGCUAGGGAGAGAGGAGAAACCUUUCCUCUUGCUUUCCCACACUGUACCCAAAGAAGCUCCAUUUUAAUGCAGCUCAGAUUCUCUCUCAAGCUGGGUUUGCAUCAGUGACUGACAAUGGAACUAAAUGCCUUUCUUCCUUCCUUAAGGGUGAUCAUCUCCCCUCCCCAAGCUGUUACUUCUGGUGACUGGUAGAGCUGUUGGCACUAAGGAUGCCUGCAGAGAUGAACAGAUGGUGCCUCUCACUUGUCUUUGAUCUUCAUUUUAGCACCUUCCUUGGAAUGAGAUUUGAUGUAGAAAAGGUAGAGAGGAGGUGGCCGUGGCCACAGCAGCUUGGUUUCAUCUAUUAAAUGAUCAGGAGGGCAGGAGUGCUUGGUCCUGCAAAGGCUCUGACCUCUGGAACAAACUGCUAAGCCAAGCCCAAUUAGUACAUGGAGCAGCAUGAAUUGGUUUCCUGGAAUUGUUGCUUGAUGCUCAUUUAGCCCAGAUUAUAUCUGCUGGGACACGUGUCUGGAGUUUCUCUUAGGUUCUGUCCACACUGGGUUCACAGCUGUGCCAGCCAAUUAUAUUAUAGGUUGUUACAAACAAACAAACAAAAGCUCCUUGUCCGUACCAGUGAGGUAAACUGUUAUGCAACUGUGCUUAAAGCUAGUCUGGUUCUGCUCCAGGCGCGGUUGGUGUGGAAGGACUCCUCUACAGCUGAAAGCAUUAUACGUGAAAUACACACCUGAAAGAGUUUUUCUGCACCAGUGCGGCUCCACCAGCAUGCAGCAGAGACAGGAUACAGGUCCUUUUUACCAGAGUGUCUGACCCUAUCCGGCUGAGCGUGCUGUGUGCUAAGGAUUCGCUCUAACUUGGAUAUUUAUAUGGCCUCAGAUAUCUCAGUAUCUGAAUGCCUCCUGAUUCUUAAUGUAUCUGUGCACAUCACACUCCCGUGAGGUAGGGGAGUGCUGUUUACCCCUGUUUUACCGAUGUGCAACUGAGACACUGAGUGGAUGAGUGACUUGACCAAAGUCAAAUGUGGAGCAGGGACUUGACCCCCACAUCUGUCAAGUCCUAGGCUGGUGCCCUACCCGCUCACCCCUCCUUUCCCUCUCUACGCUUUUGACCAUUAUAUUCCAGAUGAAUUAAGGCUAUCAAAUUUUACUAGACUCAGUGCCAGAAUCUGUCUCGUUAGUUUCCUUGGUCCUGACUGGUGUCCUGUAUGACAUUUCUCUGCUGCUGGAAUCUUUCUUCUGCUCUCGUCCUUUCCCUGCAUGCCGGCCAGGUCACUGACAAUAGCAGCUUUGCUUUGCCCCUGCCCGCUAUUCUCGUCUGGAAUGCCAGGCCCGUUGAUUGGAUAUCUUCUGGGUGGUGAGGGAACGGGGCUGGGGUGGCCAGAGGAAAGCCAGCCAGAGAGCCUCUGUUAGGCAGGAGGGAGAACUGAGAGGAGCAGAGGGGGAGCUGUAACUGGUUGCUUAUCAGGGUGACUCUGGAAAAGAUUAGCCAGCAAGAGAUAAGCUUACAAUGACUUAAUAUUGUUAGUAAGAAGUAACAGGGCAUUAUUAUUAGCUCCUGGGGUAGUUGUGGUGGGGGAGGUGUAAUGUAAUUAGAAUUAAAGAACUACCGAGAGGUGGUAAAACAGGGCAAAAGAAUCUUCUGUGUGAAAUUAUGAAAGUGCACCAGAUACGAGAGAGCCAGCUCAGGAGCUACUUGCCUGCAGAAAUCUCCAAGGGAAGGUCCCUGAAGCUGCCCCCUGCAAACGCUCCACAGGAGGAGAAAAUCUAGAGUUUUAUUCGACAUGCCUGCUUUGAUCUGCCCCCAGCAUGCUAUAUCUGGCUCCUGGGCAAAGUGUCUUUUCCUCUCUGGAGAGGAUGGCAGGGCUAGCCUAACGUCUGAAGUGGAAUUAUAUUUAGACAAAGAAAGGAAAGAGCAGCGAUAAAGCAGCCCCUGUUAUCCCUCCUGCCGCCGUUCUGAGUUUGCUGUGUGCAGGAUCCCAGUCUUCAGCCAAAGGGUUUGAUGCUGAGCUUUGAGGCAGGGGAAAUCAUUUGUGAAGAAGUCGCUGGCUGGCCAGUGUGGAUGAAAAAGCCCUUUAUUGUUCUCUCACAUCAUAGUUUGCGAGACUGGUGCAAUUAACCAAGAACUGAAAAACAAGUUGGAAAAACAAACCAACAGCCUGCGUGCCAGGUUAGUGCAGACUCUGGGCCUUGCUGCAUUCAGGGUGCUGCUCUCGGGUGUGGUGGGACAGUAAGUUGGACCUGUUGGGCUUUCAGAUGCAAAGCAGAUAUACUGGAAAGUCAUCUCCCAGGUACCUGGAGUCAGUGUGACCUGCACUGUGAGCUACCCUCUCUGCUUUCCUGUUAUGCCCUGGAGCUAUGCGGUUCUGUGGAAUGCCUCUUGCAUGUUUCCAGGAGCCUUGGAGUGGAGAGUAACUUUCUUUUUCCUUGCUGUUUGGAAGAACUGACAAGUCAGCCUGACAAGUCAGGGAGCUUUGUUUGCAGCAUGUGGGCACUGAAUUUUUAUAUUGAUUAAAGCCCCCUUCUGCAAGGGGCUCUAGUCUGCGUCUGCCUGGGUCAGAGAAGACACUGGGGACCGGUGACUGCUUCACACAGGAUGUUGCCUGAUGUGGACUAGCCUAAUGCAUGGCUCAGCAGGAUAUUAGGCAAUGUCUGUGCUGAUUCUGAAUGAUCAGUGGCAAGUUUAACUGCCCCAGCGGUGGCUGUUUGGGGUUUUGCAGGCACAGGUCUGUUGUGCCCAGUGGCUGUGUAAAGUUGUUCUACAAGGCAGUCCCCUUUGCUUUUGGGUCUUGGUGCUUCCCCUGCCAUUCCAAGCUGGGAGCAGCUGGAAGAGUGACAGCGUCUGGGCUCUCCUGUUGAUGAGGGAAGAACUCCUCUCCAAGGGGUGAGGAGAACCCUGAAAGAGGUCCUGAAAGGGAACUGUGUCUUAAAGCAGGCGGUAGGAAAUGGUGGGAGGAGCCCCAGUGGAGACCUGAAGAGACAUUUGCUUGGGACAGACCCAGCCAGCACACACAAGACUGACUUGAAGAUACUUUUCCUGUUUCGGUUGUGGAGGAUGCCAGUGCAAAAGCCCCGGGGCGUACUGAGGACCUAGCUCUGCUGGCGCUGAGAGCAGGCGGUGGAGAUGUGGCACAUCUACAGAGGGGAGAGGGAGCUGAACGCACACCUGGUGUGCCGGAUGUGCUGCAUUGGUUAGUAUCUUGAGUCUACUUCUUUAGCGCCUGGAGGGCUGGAGAGAAUCUGAAAUGCAUUGCUCUCCUCUGACUCACGGGGAGGAAUCUGCUACAACACAGGUGUCUUCUCAUGCUUUAACCAGCCUGGGUUAUCCUCAAGAUCUUGAUAGCCUGUAGACUAGGGCAGGCAAGAAGAGACGUGGGGCUGAGGGCUGGGCUUUGGGAGAAGCGUGGCAUUUCAAGCAGGGGGGAGAGUACGAUGACUCAGUUUUAUAUCGCAGUAGUUGGACUCCGGUGCCUGUUAGCUGUCCUCUUCUGGGUCCAUAUGCUUCGCUACACUGCUUGCUGCUUUACCAGGAAGCCAUGCUUAAGCAAUAAUCUCACUUAGCAAGGGCAGGGCUGUAUUUUUAACAGACCGUUGGCUGUUUUCAACGCCUGAUUUCCUGGCUGUGCUACAAGGGGGAGGAAUAGUUCAGAGGGGUAAAAAACCUGGAGGACUCCGUCUCGGACCCGGCUACAGUGACAUUGCAGUGCCGUUGAAUUUUCUCACAGCAAUCCCCAGAAAAAAUAGGUCAUAAAUAAGGCAGUAGGUAUUCCAGAGGAGAUGGAGUGAUACUGACCAGGUUUAAAAGGGAUGGGGAUGUCCUGGGAGUAUAUACAUAAGUCUCUGGCACAAGAGCGGACUGUGCAGCUGGUUGGAGUGUGGGAAGGGAAAGGAGAUUAAAAGAUGAAGAUGGUGCUUACAGACCUUCCUAGAUCCAUCCUUUUUUUUGGAGGGGUGGGAUGGGAUGAGGUUUCUCAGGCUUGGGGGGCUACCUCCAAAAUCUCAGGGCCUUGGCUCUGUGGCUGUGUCAGGUGCUGUGACCACGGAAGAGACUAAAUAGUAUAGAGUGCUAAGAGUACUGUCCAGACAAGAUGCAAAUCAGGCCGUUCACAAAUUGUCUGCUAUCGUCUGGAGGAAUUUAAAGGGAGGUAGAUGGAUGCUUGCUUGCUUGCUUUUUCUUUCCGUCUUUAAGAAAGAGUUUGCCCCUCUUCUUAAUCUGGUGUUUGGUCUCUUCCUUGCGUUGAGAACUGGCUUCCUGUGUAUCAGUCAGAUCUCUCCCCAGAGAGCUACAGAAACUGACUGCCCCUCC